UGCGUAGAGAUCGGGAGGAACAUCAGUGGCGAAGGCGGCCAUCUGGGACAACACUGACGCUGAAGCACGAAAGCGUGGGGAGCAAACAGGAUUAGAUACCCUGGUAGUCCACGCCCUAAACGAUGCGAACUGGAUGUUGGUCUCAACUCGGAGAUCAGUGUCGAAGCUAACGCGUUAAGUUCGCCGCCUGGGGAGUACGGUCGCAAGACUGAAACUCAAAGGAAUUGACGGGGGCCCGCACAAGCGGUGGAGUAUGUGGUUUAAUUCGAUGCAACGCGAAGAACCUUACCUGGCCUUGACAUGUCCGGAAUCCUGCAGAGAUGCGGGAGUGCCUUCGGGAAUCGGAACACAGGUGCUGCAUGGCUGUCGUCAGCUCGUGUCGUGGGAUGUUGGGUUAAGUCCCGCAACGAGCGCAACCCUUGUCCUUAGUUGCCAGCGAGUAAUGUCGGGAACUCUAAGGAGACUGCCGGUGACAAACCGGAGGAAGGUGGGGAUGACGUCAAGUCCUCAUGGCCCUUACGGCCAGGGCUACACACGUACUACAAUGGUCGGUACAGAGGGUUGCGAUACCGCGAGGUGGAGCCAAUCCCAGAAAGCCGAUCCCAGUCCGGAUCGAAGUCUGCAACUCGACUUCGUGAAGUCGGAAUCGCUAGUAAUCGCGGAUCAGCUAUGCCGCGGUGAAUACGUUCCCGGGCCUUGUACACACCGCCCGUCACACCAUGGGAGUGGGUUGCUCCAGAAGGCGUUAGUCUAACCGCAAGGAGGACGACGCCCACGGAGUGGUUCAUGACUGGGGUGAAGUCGUAAC
rnacentral:rRNA from 1 species